rnacentral:rRNA from 1 species
AGAUUGAACGCUGGCGGCAUGCCUAACACAUGCAAGUCGAACGGGAGUAGCAAUACUCUAGUGGCGGACGGGUGAGGAAUACGUAGGAAUUUGCCCUUAAGUGGGGGAUAACCCGGGGAAACCCGGAUUAAUACCGCAUGACCUCGAAAGAGCAAAGUGGGGGAUCGCAAGACCUCACGCUUUUGGAGAAGCCUACGUCGGAUUAGCUAGUUGGUGAGGUAAUGGCUCACCAAGGCGACGAUCCGUAACUGGUCUGAGAGGAUGAUCAGUCACACCGGAACUGAGACACGGUCCGGACUCCUACGGGAGGCAGCAGGUGGGGAAUAGUUGG